CUGUUGCUCAGGUGUAUUUCUUUCCACCUACGUCUACAUCCCACCUAGUCAUCGCCGAAGGUAAUACAGGUGAAUCGUCAGAUAUGCCACCGUCUCCAAAUAUCUCUGGCUCUAACGCUGUUACGACGAUAGAACUUGAGAAGGUAGAAAAUGAAUCGUCAUCGAAAACACCACCUACAGUGUGCUGGAAUAACAAGGACAAACUGUUCGUCCUGAUGAAUUGCCUGUUUCACCUGGGUUUCCAUUUUUAACUAUCCCUACAUCAGAAGAUCUGACAAAUGGGAGCCAGAAUCAAUACCAUAAGUUUCGAAAAGACUCGAUAAACAUUUUGAUUUAAACGAAUUAAAGUAAAUUUAAACGCCUCCACGAGACUUACCAGAGGGCAGCAGCUGAUGGAUUGGAGAAUACGGUCGGUCAUGACGGUCUCCUCCCCCCUCCAAUGUACACAAAGACACCAUGAGGAUUUUAAUAAUGGAUUGGUAGGCAUGGGAUAUUAGGCCUUACCCUAAAAGACCAGGAAUUUUCCCUAUGACAGAAAAAGGGACUUAAAAUAUAUGCUCACGUAUAAGAAAACUACUGUUAGAAUAAUCACAUAAUCAGAUAUAUUAGCUAACAAAUGAAAGAAACGACAAGGCUUAUGUCAACAGUAUUUAUUUAUAUCGCACUAACAUUUUCUUUCUUUAAAAAAUAAUCUUUACGACGAAGACUUCCUCUCUCACUCGAAACCUACGACGAGAACGUCGCAAUUAUUAAAUUGCACAUUUUAUAUUUUCAUCUGUAUAUUAACAUAAAUAAAAUACGUUGACCAUAUAAACGAAGUAAAAUACACGUAUAAAAUUUCCGUUACAUGCUAUUAUAUUCUUGCUGGGAUCAUUCAGGAGGAAGGAAAUAGAGUCCAGAAGAAACAGGAGGAAUCUUAUAUUUGACAGUAGUUCUUUGCUAUUUGUUUAAAAAAUGUAUAACAGUUCUCGUUCCCCAAUCAAACGCUCAUCACUGCUGGGAUGUCAUAGAUAGUACAACCUGGAAUAAUAGUCUCACUAACGCUGGUAAUUCUUACAAGAUACGCUGCGUACGAAAUCCAGCUCGCAUUUAUUAGGAAGAUGUAUGCAUAUAUAUAUUUCUAAACGAUGCAACGGUUGUUCCGUUGCAGGCGACUUAAUGUAUACAGUGCGAUCAUUGGGGAACGUAUAUUAUAUAAUAUGUAUGCUAUUUUUAUGUCUCUACGAUAGUCGACGCUUUGUUAUCACGCGAUAGUUUACACAUAUUAUUCGUUAGACGAGGCAUCGGGAUCGAAUCCAUAAGAAAGAGAUUAGAAGGAAUGACA